rnacentral:rRNA from 1 species
UCCUGGGAUAACACNGACGUUCAUGCCCGAAAGCGUGGGUAGCAAACAGGAUUAGAUACCCUGGUAGUCCACGCCCUAAACGAUGUCGAUUAGCUGUUGGGCAGCAUGACUGCUUAGUAGCGAAGCUAACGCGUGAAAUCGACCGCCUGGGGAGUACGGUCGCAAGAUUAAAACUCAAAGGAAUUGACGGGGACCCGCACAAGCGGUGGAUGAUGUGGAUUAAUUCGAUGCAACGCGAAGAACCUUACCUGGUCUUGACAUGUACGGAAUCCUCCAGAGACGGAGGGGUGCCUUCGGGAGCCGUAACACAGGUGCUGCAUGGCUGUCGUCAGCUCGUGUCGUGAGAUGUUGGGUUAAGUCCCGCAACGAGCGCAACCCUUGUCAUUAGUUGCCAUCAUUAAGUUGGGCACUCUAAUGAGACUGCCGGUGACAAGCCGGAGGAAGGUGGGGAUGACGUCAAGUCCUCAUGGCCCUUAUGACCAGGGCUUCACACGUCAUACAAUGGUCGGUACAGAGGGUAGCCAAGCCGCGAGGUGGAGCCAAUCUCACAAAACCGAUCGUAGUCCGGAUUGCACUCUGCAACUCGAGUGCAUGAAGUCGGAAUCGCUAGUAAUCGCAGGUCAGCAUACUGCGGUGAAUACGUUCCCGGGUCUUGUACACACCGCCCGUCACACCAUGGGAGUGGGGGAUACCAGAAGUAGGUAGGGUAACCGCAAGGAGCCCGC